GUGCUCGCAUCAGCAACAUAUAUACUAAAAUUGGAACGAUACAGAGAAUAUUAGCAUGGCCCCUGUGCAAGGAUGACAUGCAAAUUCAUGCAGUGUUCCAUAUUAAA